UACGGAGGGUGCAAGCGUUAUCCGGAUUCACUGGGUUUAAAGGGUGCGUAGGUGGGUUGGUAAGUCAGUGGUGAAAUCCCCGAGCUUAACUUGGGAACUGCCAUUGAUACUAUCAGUCUUGAAUACUGUGGAGGUCAGUGGAAUAUGUCAUGUAGCGGUGAAAUGCUUAGAUAUGACAUAGAACACCAAUUGCGAAGGCAGCUGGCUACACAAAUAUUGACACUCAGGCACGAAAGCGUGGGGAUCAAACAGG
rnacentral:rRNA from 1 species